CUUCUCUCCACGCCAAACAUACCUACUCCCUCUCUCCUCCCUCUCCUUCACCGAACCCUAGCCGCCACCCCCCUACGUUCUUUCUCCUCUGAGCUGGAUUGCCAAAAAUGGCGAAAACACAUACUCCACAGGCUUUUCUCAGUACGUGCAUAGUCGAAUCAAGCCGCAUUUAUUGCGACACAAAGAAGGCUCCAAGUCCAUUCUUGCUCCGACUGCACUCAAAAAAGCCCAACAAUGUUGAUUCUUUCAGAACACGAAUGAGUCCAAUGGAGAGAAAGGGAAGCAAAUAUUGAAGAUACAUAGAAGGCCCAACCAUGGGUAAAAAUGGUUAACUAGGGGCUUGGUACGCCCUUAGCCUAACUUAUCUUUUAUUUACAUAUUUAUAUUCUGAUAUUGUAUUGUAUUUGUGUGUUUGUAAAACAUUUUUAUUUAUUGAAUCCUUUACGGUUAUGAACUAGUCGUCUUAGGCCAAAGUUGCUUAUGUCGUUUAGAAGACUUUAAGUCCCCGAACGAUUUAAAAAAAUACCCAGAUUUAGUAUAAUGAUUUUUAAAACCUGAAUGAAUAACAAAUAAAACAACUUUUGAUACAAGAUCAAAACUGACACAAAGAUGUUUCAAAAACCACAAACAUUAUAUCAUUCCCCUAAGAAAACCAUAUCAGUUUUGCAAAAAAACAAUUCAUUUUGGAAAGUUAAAAUCAGUUUUGGAUAGAAAGCUAGAUUAGAACAGGCUGAUUUUGGGCCAACCCCAACCCAAAAAACUAAUGUUUUGGGGCCUAAGCCCAUCUGAGUUUGAACCAGAAAACAAAAGGAAAGAAUGA